rnacentral:rRNA from 1 species
AGAGUUUGAUCCUGGCUCAGGACGAACGCUGGCGGCGUGCUUAACACAUGCAAGUCGAACGGUAAGGCCCCUUCGGGGGUACACGAGUGGCGAACGGGUGAGUAACACGUGAGCAACCUGCCCUUGACUCUGGAAUAACAGCUGGAAACAGCUGCUAAUACCGGAUACGACCCCUUGCGACAUCGCAGGAGGUGGAAAGCUCCGACGGUCAAGGAUGGGCUCGCGGCCUAUCAGCUAGUUGGUGAGGUAACGGCUCACCAAGGCUUCGACGGGUAGCCGGCCUGAGAGGGCGACCGGCCACACUGGGACUGAGAUACGGCCCAGACUCCUACGGGAGGCAGCAGUGGGGAAUAUUGCACAAUGGGCGAAAGCCUGAUGCAGCAACGCCGCGUGCGGGAUGACGGCCUUCGGGUUGUAAACCGCUUUCAGUUCCGACGAAGCGCAAGUGACGGUAGGAACAGAAGAAGGACCGGCCAACUACGUGCCAGCAGCCGCGGUGAUACGUAGGGUCCGAGCGUUGUCCGGAAUUAUUGGGCGUAAAGGGCUUGUAGGCGGUUCGUCACGUCGGAAGUGAAAACUCAGGGCUUAACCCUGAGCCUGCUUCCGAUACGGGCAAACUAGAGGGAUGCAGGGGAGAACGGAAUUCCUGGUGGAGCGGUGGAAUGCGCAGAUAUCAGGAGGAACACCGGUGGCGAAGGCGGUUCUCUGGGCAUUUCCUGACGCUGAGAAGCGAAAGCGUGGGGAGCAAACAGGCUUAGAUACCCUGGUAGUCCACGCCGUAAACGGUGGGCACUAGGUGUGGGGGACAUUCCACGUUCUCCGUGCCGAAGCUAACGCAUUAAGUGCCCCGCCUGGGGAGUACGGCCGCAAGGCUAAAACUCAAAGGAAUUGACGG